rnacentral:rRNA from 1 species
GUGCCAGCAGCCGCGGUAAUCCCAGCAGUCCAAGUCGCAGCCACAUUUGUUGGGUCUAAAAUAUCCGUAGCUUGCCUUUCAAGUCUUUUGUGAAAUCGGGACUCUUAAAGUUCCGGCGUGCAAAAGAUACUGUUUGGCUAGAGACCGGGAGGCGUAAAGAGUACAAAAAGGGUAGCGGUUAAAUGCGUUGAUCCUAUUUGGACUAACAGUCGCGAAGGCGCUUUACGAGAACGGUUCUGACAGUGAGGGAUGAAGGCUAGGGGCGCAAAGUGGAUUAGAUACCCCUGUAGUCC